GACGAACGCUGGCGGCGUGCUUAACACAUGCAAGUCGAACGGAAAGGCCCUGCUUUUGUGGGGUGCUCGAGUGGCGAACGGGUGAGUAACACGUGAGUAACCUGCCCUUGACUUUGGGAUAACUUCAGGAAACUGGGGCUAAUACCGGAUAGGAGCUCCUGCUGCAUGGUGGGGGUUGGAAAGUUUCGGCGGUUGGGGAUGGACUCGCGGCUUAUCAGCUUGUUGGUGGGGUAGUGGCUUACCAAGGCUUUGACGGGUAGCCGGCCUGAGAGGGUGGCCGGCCACAUUGGGCCUGCGAUACGGCCCAGACUCCAACGGGAGGCAGCAGUGGAGAAUAUUGCACAAUGGGCGGAAGCCUGAUGCAGCAACGCCGCGUGCGGGAUGACGGCCUUCGGGUUGUAAACCGCUUUCGCAUGUGACGAAGCGUGAGUGACGGUAAUGGGUAAAGAAGCACCGGCUAACUACGUG
rnacentral:rRNA from 1 species